rnacentral:rRNA from 1 species
AAUCCAUAGGUUAAUGAGGCGAACCGGGGGAACUGAAACAUCUAAGUACCCCGAGGAAAAGAAAUCAACCGAGAUUCCCCCAGUAGCGGCGAGCGAACGGGGAGGAGCCCAGAGCCUGAAUCAGCAUGUGUGUUAGUGGAAGCGUCUGGAAAGGCGCGCGAUACAGGGUGACAGCCCCGUACACAAAAGCGCAUGUGCUGUGAGCUCGAUGAGUAGGGCGGGACACGUGGUAUCCUGUCUGAAUAUGGGGGGACCAUCCUCCAAGGCUAAAUACUCCUGACUGACCGAUAGUGAACCAGUACCGUGAGGGAAAGGCGAAAAGAACCCCGGCGAGGGGAGUGAAAAAGAACCUGAAACCGUGUACGUACAAGCAGUGGGAGCCCCACCACUAAGCCAGUGGUGAACUCCACAUCCGCAUCCUUUGCUGAGGAUAC